rnacentral:rRNA from 1 species
GGGGAUGACGUCAAAUCAUCAUGCCCCUUAUGACCUGGGCUACACACGUGCUACAAUGGACGGUACAAAGAGCUGCAAGACCGCGAGGUGGAGCUAAUCUCAUAAAACCGUUCUCAGUUCGGAUUGUAGGCUGCAACUCGCCUACAUGAAGCUGGAAUCGCUAGUAAUCGCGGAUCAGCAUGCCGCGGUGAAUACGUUCCCGGGCCUUGUACAC